GACGGUAACAGCCCGGUAGUUGAAAUGGCUUUCCCUCCAGAGUGGAUCCUGAGUACGGCGGAACACGUGAAAUUCCGUCGGAAUCCGGGAGGACCAUCUCCCAAGGCUAAAUACUCCCUAGUGACCGAUAGUGAACCAGUACCGUGAGGGAAAGGUGAAAAGCACCCCGGAAGGGGAGUGAAACAGUUCCUGAAACCGUGUGCCUACAAGUAGUUAGAGCCCGUUAAUGGGUGAUAGCGUGCCUUUUGUAGAAUGAACCGGCGAGUUACGAUUUGUUGCAAGGUUAAGCGGAAAAAGCGGAGCCGUAGCGAAAGCGAGUCUGAAUAGGGCGCAUAAGUAACAGGUCGUAGACCCGAAACCAGGUGAUCUACCCAUGUCCAGGAUGAAGGUAAGGUAAUACUUACUGGAGGUCCGAACCCACGCACGUUGAAAAGUGCGGGGAUGAGGUGUGGGUAGCGGAGAAAUUCCAAUCGAACUUGGAGAUAGCUGGUUCUCUCCGAAAUAGCUUUAGGGCUAGCCUCGAGGUAAAGAGUCAUGGAGGUAGAGCACUGUUUGGACUAGGGGCCCUUCUCGGGUUACCGAAUUCAGAUAAACUCCGAAUGCCAUGUACUUAUACUCGGGAGUCAGACUGCGAGUGAUAAGAUCCGUAGUCGAAAGGGAAACAGCCCAGACCACCAGUUAAGGUCCCCAAAUAUAUGUUAAGUGGAAAAGGAUGUGGGGUUGCUUAGACAACCAGGAUGUUGGCUUAGAAGCAGCCACCAUUGAAAGAGUGCGUAAUAGCUCACUGGUCGAGUGACCCCGCGCCGAAAAUGUACCGGGGCUAAACAUAUUACCGAAACUGUGGAUGAACCUCUUUAGAGGUUCGUGGUAGGAGAGCGUUCUAAGGGCGGUGAAGUCAGACCGGAAGGACUGGUGGAGCGCUUAGAAGUGAGAAUGCCGGUAUGAGUAGCGAAAGAAGGGUGAGAAUCCCUUCCACCGAAUAUCUAAGGUUUCCUGAGGAAGGCUCGUCCGCUCAGGGUUAGUCGGGACCUAAGCCGAGGCCGAUAGGCGUAGGCGAUGGACAACAGGUAGAGAUUCCUGUACCAGUGCUAAUUGUUUAACCGAUGGGGUGACACAGAAGGAUAGGGAAUCGCACGAAUGGAAAUGUGCGUCCAAGCAGUGAGUGUGAGAAGUAGGCAAAUCCGCUUCUCGCGAAGCAUGAGCUGUGAUGGGGAAGGAAAUUAAGUACGGAAGUUCCUGAUUUCACGCUGUCAAGAAAAGCCUCUAGGAAGAGUAGUACUGCCCGUACCGCAAACCGACACAGGUAGAUGAGGAGAGAAUCCUAAGGUGAGCGAGAGAACUCUCGUUAAGGAACUCGGCAAAAUGACCCCGUAACUUCGGGAGAAGGGGUGCUCUAUUAGGGUGCAAGCCCGAGAGAGCCGCAGUGAAUAGGCCCAGGCGACUGUUUAGCAAAAACACAGGUCUCUGCAAAACCGUAAGGUGACGUAUAGGGGCUGACGCCUGCCCGGUGCUGGAAGGUUAAGAGGAGUGCUUAGCUUCGGCGAAGGUACGAAUUGAAGCCCCAGUAAACGGCGGCCGUAACUAUAACGGUCCUAAGGUAGCGAAAUUCCUUGUCGGGUAAGUUCCGACCCGCACGAAAGGCGCAACGAUCUGGGCACUGUCUCAACGAGAGACUCGGUGAAAUUAUAGUACCUGUGAAGAUGCAGGUUACCCGCGACAGGACGGAAAGACCCCGUGGAGCUUUACUGCAACCUGAUAUGGAAUGUUUGUACCGCUUGUACAGGAUAGGUAGGAGCCGAAGAGACGUGUGCGCUAGCAUACGAGGAGGCAAUGGUGGGAUACUACCCUGGCUGUAUGACCAUUCUAACCCGCCACGCUUAGCGCGUGGGGAGACAGUGUCAGGUGGGCAGUUUGACUGGGGCGGUCGCCUCCUAAAGAGUAACGGAGGCGCCCAAAGGUUCCCUCAGAAUGGAUGGAAAUCAUUCGCAGAGUGUAAAGGCACAAGGGAGCUUGACUGCGAGACUGACAAGUCGAGCAGGGACGAAAGUCGGGCUUAGUGAUCCGGUGGUUCCGCAUGGAAGGGCCAUCGCUCAACGGAUAAAAGCUACCCCGGGGAUAACAGGCUUAUCUCCCCCAAGAGUCCACAUCGACGGGGAGGUUUGGCACCUCGAUGUCGGCUCGUCGCAUCCUGGGGCUGUAGUCGGUCCCAAGGGUUGGGCUGUUCGCCCAUUAAAGCGGCACGCGAGCUGGGUUCAGAACGUCGUGAGACAGUUCGGUCCCUAUCCGUCGCGGGCGCAGGAAAUUUGAGAGGAGCUGUCCUUAGUACGAGAGGACCGGGAUGGACACACCGCUGGUGUACCAGUUGUUCCGCCAGGAGCAUCGCUGGGUAGCUAUGUGUGGCAGGGAUAAACGCUGAAAGCAUCUAAGCGUGAAGCCCCCCUCAAGAUGAGAUUUCCCAUUUCUUCGGAAAGUAAGAUCCCUGAAAGAUGAUCAGGUAGAUAGGUUUGGAGUGGAAGUGUAGCGAUACAUGGAGCGGACAAAUACUAAUCGAUCGAGGACUUAACCAAAA
rnacentral:rRNA from 2 species